GCUGGGUGUGGUAGAGGGCGCCUGUAAUCCCAGCUACCCAGGAGGCUGAGGCAGGAGAAUUGCUGGAACCUGGGAGGCCGAGGCUGCAGUGAGCCGAGAUCAUGCCACUGCACUCCAGCCUGGGUGACAGAGCAAGACUCUGUCUCAA
ensembl:misc_RNA Metazoa_SRP Metazoan signal recognition particle RNA